ensembl:lncRNA
CCACCAACACCACCACCCAGGGGUGGAGCUCCAGCAACACCACCACCUAGGGUGGAGCUCCACCAACACCACCACCAAGGGUGGAGCUCCAGCAACACCACCACCUAGGGUGGAGCUCCACCAACACCACCACCUAGGCCGGGCCCCCCAGGAGUAGCAGUAGGAACCUCUGGGGGAGGAGAAUAGUGUGGCCUCCAGGUUGUAGAGGUUAGGCCAGGGGGAGAUCCCAGCGAGUAGGAAGGAAGGAAGGAAGGAAGGAAGCAAUGAAGGGUUCAGGAGAGGUAGCAGGAGUGCGGAGGUGUCAUAAGGGGCUCAGUCCUGAAGCCACUGUCAUUGUCUUGGUAAAAUAGUCCAGUUCCAACACCCCUUCUGCCUUUGUCUCGAUCAGAUGGCAAGUGCUUCCAGAGAGGGAAAUCAAAGAGUCGAGGUAGUGUUUGACCUCAUCCUAAAAUCAUUGAAUAUUAAUGAGUUAUUCCGAUUAAAAUACUGUUUGCCCCAAAUUAUUACACAGCGAUGUUUGUAAAAAUACAGCGUGAUUUGUUCUCUAACAUUUGGUACACAAGGUUCUAUUUCUCAUGUUCUGUCAAAUGUAGAAAAUGAUAAAAAUACACAGAUUUGCAUAUGCAUUAUGAUAAAUCACAAAACAACAUUAAUGUUUUCAGUACAACCCAAAUUAUGAAGAAGUUACCUCUGAUAGUUUUUGAUAGAAUAAUAUAAUUUUAAUAUGUGAAAAUGCUUUGCUACAAUCUUGGCGGUUAACGUUCUUCUUGUAUUCGAGCAGGCCUUCUACUGUAUAAUUUCCAGCGAAAGUACUUGCUUUCGUAGCAUUCGCAGUACGAGAGAAAGAAGAUGAAUCCAUCUAAAAUAAAAUCUGAUGUAACCUGUAUAUUCCAGCCAUAUCUGCCUUGUAUUUCAGCUUCUAUAAGCGUUUUUCUUUCCAGAUAACAAUAAUUCUUGGCACUGAACAAUGUGAUACUGUAAUCUUCAGCCAGCAAACUACAUUCAUAGUUUGAUGGCAGUAACAUUCCCGGAAAGCACUUAAAGAGUUUCAAAAUGUGUGAAAGCCAUGCCUCUAUAAAAAGUUUGUUAUUAAAGAUCAAAUGUUAUAAAAUGUGCUGCGUCAAAUUCUUUUAAUAGCUAAUAAAGAGCGGAUUAAGAUAUAAAAUUGGACUGGUUGUCGUUGUUUUGUAAGAUACUGUACUUUGACUUACAUUUUGUUCUUACUCUUUACUCGACACGCACACACAGACAC